GAUGAACGCUAGCGGCAGGCUUAAUACAUGCAAGUCGAACGGUAAGUGUUUUAGCAAUAAAGCACCAAGAGUGACGUACGGGUGCGUAACACGUAUGCAACCUACCCAUAACAGGAGGAUAGCUCCCCGAAAGGGGAAUUAACCCUCCAUAGUAUAAUUGACUGGCAUCAGUUGAUUAUUAAAACUCCGGUGGUUAUGGAUGGGCAUGCGUCUGAUUAGUUAGUUGGCGGUGUAACGGACCACCAAGACGAUGAUCAGUAGGGGAACUGAGAGGUUGAUCCCCCACACUGGCACUGAGAUACGGGCCAGACUCCUACGGGAGGCAGCAGUAGGGAAUAUUGGUCAAUGGAUGCAAGUCUGAACCAGCCAUGCCGCGUGCAGGAAGAAGGCCCUAUGGGUUGUAAACUGCUUUUGCCAGGGGAUAAAAUGGGCAUGCGUGCCUAAUUGAAGGUACCUGGUGAAUAAGCCACGGCUAACUACGUGC
rnacentral:rRNA from 1 species